GGACUACCCGCUGAACUUA
rnacentral:rRNA from 1 species